CGAGCUCUCCUGUCGUCAGUGGUCUUCAAGCUUUGGAAUGCAGGAUCACAAUUUAAUCCUUUGCAUGCGAUGGUGAACGGUCGACGUUCUUUGCUAAGUGGUUCUCGAGGGUUUUUCGUUGUUAUCUUAGACUGUUUUAUGGGAUAUUUUGUUAUGACUUUAUUCAAGCUGAAAGCGGUAUCGAGGAUUGAAUCGCCUCCUGCCUCCUCGGUGACAACAUCCAGUUGCGUUACUUCAAUCUCAGAAAAAGUUCUACAUAAAGCUGCAUUAUAAAGUUAUUAGUAAAGAAAUUACUGUUAUAUAACACAAUUAAAAUUGUAUCUAAGAAAACAUUCAUAAACUCACUGCAUCAAAUGUAGAGUCUAGAAACAAUUCCUGUAGAAAUCGUCGUGCCGGCAUUCUGUAAGUACCGCUACC